AAGGAUCAUUACCUAGAGUUGUAGGCUUUGCCUACCAUCUCUUACCCAUGUCUUUUGAGUACCUUCGUUUCCUCGGCGGGUCCGCCCGCCGAUUGGACAAACUUAAACCCUUUGUAAUUGAAAUCAGCGUCUGAAAAAACAUAAUAGUUACAACUUUCAACAACGGAUCUCUUGGUUCUGGCAUCGAUGAAGAACGCAGCGAAAUGCGAUAAGUAGUGUGAAUUGCAGAAUUCAGUGAAUCAUCGAAUCUUUGAACGCACAUUGCGCCCCUUGGUAUUCCAUGGGGCAUGCCUGUUCGAGCGUCAUUUGUACCUUCAAGCUCUGCUUGGUGUUGGGUGUUUGUCUCGCCUUUGCGUGUAGACUCGCCUUAAAACAAUUGGCAGCCGGCGUAUUGAUUUCGGAGCGCAGUACAUCUCGCGCUUUGCACUCAUAACGACGACGUCCAAAAAGUACUUUUUACACUCUUGACCUCGGAUCAGGUAGGGAUACCCGCUGAACUUAA
rnacentral:rRNA from 3 species